AUGUCGUCCACCCCAGCCAGCAGCGAGCCCCAUGACGCGCCGGCCGCCGACAGCAGCGUGCCGGCGUCGAGGUCGAUCGCGGAGCGGUGGAAGAUGGAGGCGGCGCCGGUGCGGGCGCGGCUGCUGCUCCGGGCCUUCGCGUGGCUCUUCUCCCUGCUGGCCCUCGUCGUCAUGGCCACCGACGUGCACGGCCGCGGCGGCGCCCAGGACUUCAGCACCUACCCGGAAUACAACUACUGCCUGGGCAUGUCGAUCAUCGCGCUCCUGUACGCCACGGCGCAGCUGCUGCGCGACGCGCACAGGCUCAGCUCUGGCCGGGACCUCGUCGCCGGGCGGAAGGCGGCCGCCGUCCUCGACUUCGCCGGAGAUCAGGUGGUGGCGUACUCGUUGAUUUCUGGCUUGUCCGCGGCGGCGCCGGUGACGGACUACAUGCGCCAGGCCGCCGACAACCUGUUCAACGACUCGGCCGCGGCCGCCAUUAGCCUCGCCUUCUUCGCCUUCUUGGCCAUCGGCCUCUCUGCCCUCAUCUCUGGGUACAAUCUUUCCCUAGAAGCCCUUGUUUAG
rnacentral:rRNA from 1 species